CCUACGGGUGGCAGCAGUGAGGAAUAUUGGUCAAUGGUCGAGAGGCUGAACCAGCCAAGUCGCGUGAGGGAAGACGGCCCUACGGGUUGUAAACCUCUUUUGUCGGGGAGCAAAGCGAACCACGUGUGGUUCAUUGAGAGUACCCUCCGAAAAAGCAUCGGCUAACUCCGUGCCAGUAGCCGCGGUAAUACGGAGGAUGCGAGCGUUAUCCGGAUUUAUUGGGUUUAAGGGGUGCGCAGGCGGUCUGUUAAGUCAGCGGUCAAAGCCCGGGGCUCAACCCCGGCCCGCCGUUGAAACUGGCAGUCUCGAGGUGGAGAGAAGUAGGCGGAAUGCGCGGUGUAGCGGUGAAAUGCAUAGAUAUCGCGCAGAACUCCGAUUGCGAAGGCAGCAUGCCGGCUCCACACUGACGCUGAGGCACGAAAGCGUGGGUAUCGAACAGGAUUAGAUACCCCAGUAGUC
rnacentral:rRNA from 1 species